GGAAAGCAGCCGAGGUUGUAAAUUCUUUCUAACAUAGAAAAUCAUUCUUUGCCUUUUAGGAAAAGGGUUUGUUGUUUCAGCCACUCAGGCCUAUUUCCUCGACCCUUUUGUCCUUGCACAUCUUGGGGGUUAACUUCUGUUUGGGUUCUGUGAGGCUGCGCAAAUUAAGAGGGGGAAAUGUCCCAAACACAUAGAAUCCUCUCUCUCUAAAGAAUGGGACACCUCCUGAAGGAGUCCUGUCAGGUGUCAAGACUAUCAAAUGGAGAAAGAGAUGGGACUCAACUCCGAAGGCAAGGAAGAGAGCCGGGGAUUUACAGCUGAUGAGCAGAUGAGCGGUCAGUGGAUGGAAAAGUACUAAGAGAAUCGUUGCUAUGCUUACUUAAUAGGAUUCUGGCUGAAGCCAGGCCAGGGUGAUCAGAUGCCAAAGAUGAAAAAGCCAAGACAGGCCGGCACAGUGGCUCCUGCCUGUAAUACCAGAGCUUUGGGGGGCCAAGGCAGGCAGAGAUCACUUGAGCCCAGGAGUUCGAGACCAGCCUGGGCAACAUGGCAAAAUCCCAUCUCUACAAAAAAUAGCUACUCAGGAGGCUAAGGUGAGAGGAUCACUUGAACCUGGGAGGCAGAGGUUGCAGUGAGCCAUGAUUGUGCCACUGCACUCCAGCCUGGGUGAUAGAGUGAGACACUGUCUCAAAAAAAAAAAAAAAAAAAAAAAAAGAGUUAAGGCAUUCUGUGAGGAACCUCAAAGCAGCCAAGCAGAGGCAACGUUUGUGGCUGAACCAGCUGUGAAAAGCUGGAAAAACCUACCCAGCUCUACCCUGUAUGGCAGAGGAAAGUUCCCAGAGAUGUACAGAAAAAGCCAAGAGUAAUGCUGCCUCUGCGUUCUUGCUCAGUGUCUUAGAGGGAUGAAUAAUUACAAAAUGGUGAUUCCAACACUUUGAAGGACCAUCUUAAAGACAAAACUACCUAAUAAAGUUCAAGCUGCAUGGUCCGGCCUUUCAGCAGAUCACAGUCUUUCUCACCGACUGUGAGAAACUAUUCAGUUUCUCAGGGUGAGAUGGCUGAGCCCCACAGGGCUUACAAACAUGCGUGUGUAUGGUGUGUGGUGUGUGUGUGUGUGUGUGUGUAUAUGGUGUGUGUGGUGUGUGUGUGUGUGUAUGGUGUGUGUGGUGUGUGUGUGCACAUGUGUGCAUUCUGUGUGUGUAAGAGAAUUUUUUAAAAGAUGUAACUGUGAUUCUAGAAGUAGAAAAUGAACUUGUGCCAAAUGUUUUUAUUUAAUUAAUGUGAGAACAAGGAAGAUGUUAAAACUGGUUCAAGGGAGAAUCCAAAGACACAGAGACGUACAUCUGUGGUUUCACAGAUAUAAGUGGCUUCUUCUAGUGUAGGAGGGAAAUCCAGUUACAUUCUUGGUCCAUUUCAUAGUCUUUCACAAUUUUCCCUACUAUGCAGUAAACACACAGGCACACAUGCAUACACACUCUCCCACUUCCAUGCCUUUGUUCAUGUUGGUUACUUUUGAGCAAAAUCACUCUUCUCUCUCUCCUGCAAGUCCAAAUAUGAUUUGGACAUACUCCUAACAAAUCAGCAUCCCCAAGGGUGGGACCCAGUACUCUCUGCUUCCAACAGGCUUCCCCAGGGGCAUCUCUGACGACAGACUUUGGAAACCCCAAGUGAGAAUUACAAGUUCAGCCCCUGAGAGUUCAGGAAAAGGAGACUUCCACAUGCACUGAAAUUGUGAGGGAAUGGUUCCUGCAGGAUGCAGGUUCCAGAUUGGAGUUUGAAUGAUAGGCAGGAUUUGGAGAAAAGAGGCGGAGGAAUUUCAGGAAGGGGGAAGCCAUGGCGGGGAAGGGCACAGGAGUCAGAAUCAGCCUGGGGAAGCCAGGAUUCCAGCCUGAGCAUGCAGGAGGAAGAGAAAAUUGGGUGACUGUGGCAAACACAGAUCACAGAGGACCAAAGGGUGGACAAGAGGGUUAGACUCAGGCCAGAGGUAGUGCACAUUUUUUUUUUAG